ACCAGGUCUAAACCAAAACUGACCCAGGUCUAAACAGCGUGGAGUUCUUUGUCAGUCCUUUCGUCCGCGGUUACCUGAAGGUCUAUGAGGGCGCAUCUCCGGCGUUUCACCGCUGCUGAUAUCGAGGUGAUUUUAGCGAAUUUGUAUGAAGAAAAACCCACCACUUCAAUCCAGGUUAAAAAAAAAAACACUGUAACGCGCGUUACUCACAUUUGUACCGAGUAAAAUAUUACUAUUUUUUUCCCCUGUAAUGCCUUACAUUACGUUACAGCAAAAAGUAAUGCAUUACUGUAAUUCGUUACUUUUAUAACGCGUUACUCCCAACACUGAAGGCACACUGUACACAGUGAGACCAUUACAUGGAAAACACAAAAUGAGGUUUGUCUAUCACCCCAAUACAAUUGCCUCCCUAUCCCAAAAGUUUCUCAAGUGAAACAAACACCGUAUAUAUGACAUUCACUGGCUCUCUGUCAAUAUCCCUAGUAGUGAGUAGUGUAAAUGACUUUAAGUAUCAAAAACAUUCAGGAAUGUCUCAUGCUUUUAACAAAUUAGAUGGUUGAAACUAAUUGAACAAUGUAAGCUAGUUCAUGUUUAAUUGGUUGAAUUCCUUAUUUCUGAUCUCUGAAUGUUUCCCAUUUAUUGCAGGUGUGAGUUUUCUAGAGGGUAAAGAAGACAUAACACAGGACUGGAGAGAAAAAUUUGUAAAUACAUACAAGGCAAGACUGAUGUUCUGGCCUUUUGUGCAGUUCCUGAACUUUGCCUUGGUGCCCCUGUAUGUGCGGACUGUGUUUACU